rnacentral:rRNA from 1 species
CCUACGGGGGGCAGCAGUGAGGAAUAUUGGUCAAUGGACGCGAGUCUGAACCAGCCAUGCCGCGUGCAGGAAGACGGCCCUAUGGGUUGUAAACUGCUUUUGUAUGGGGGUAAACGGUGCUACGCGUAUCUUUCUGCAUGUACCGUACGAAUAAGGAUCGGCUAACUCCGUGCCAGCAGCCGCGGUAAUACGGAGGAUUCAAGCGUUAUCCGGAUUUAUCGGGUUUAAAGGGUGCGUAGGCGGUCGGUUAAGUUAGAGGUGAAAUCCCGAGGCUCAACCUCGGAAUUGCCUCUGAUACUGGUCGGCUAGAGAGUAGUAGCGGUGGGCGGAAUGUAUGGUGUAGCGGUGAAAUGCUUAGAGAUCAUACAGAACACCGAUUGCGAAGGCAGCUCAC